UGUUGUUUUUUUAUUUUACCACAAGUGUGCCUAUCUUCAUAAAGUUGAAAUCCCAGUUAUUUGAAAAUACAUAGGUGCAGAAAUACGCAGUCCUAAGGAAUUCAGAAAACAUUGGUCAUCAACGUUUCCCUACCAUGUCCAACUGAACCUGUAUCUGCAGGUUUUGAAAACUAUAUAAGAAGAGAAAGAAAUUUAUCAAGAUCUGCUGGAAAGAUUUAUCAAUUCUGCUGGAAAGAAAAAAAAAAGAAAAAAAAAGUAGCCAACAAAUGCAAAAAACUUUAAACUAAGAACCCAUAAGACUGAAAAUUUUCAUUCUACUGAACAUUCAAGAAUCAUUCUAGGAUGUGACAGAGUUUCCAACCUUGGAGUGAGUUCUAGGAGGCUGGGGAGAAGACUUGGAUAAGUAGUGGUAAAAUGGAGGUUAGAAAUUUAUAUUCUGAGUUGAAAUUUUCAUUCAGUCACAGGUAUUCAGUAGUUAGGAUUUUAAGAAACAUGAAAAAACAAGUGCUGCAAUGUAAGGAUCAUGUAAGCUGGUAGCUCUGCUGGGUCAUCAAGAUUUGGUUUAUAAGCUGUUACAGAUACAGAGAUUUCACUACAUGUCAAAUCUUAUCCUGAAGGCUGUGGCCAAAAUGUGAAGUGUCAGGAGCAGCGACCACCUCUUUCUGCUACAUCGAACUCUCUCCUUAGUGUCCUACUCAGAGAUAAGCCAGCUGAGAAAGUGCUCAGCAGUACUGAAGAAUGAAAUAAAAAUAAAAAGUAUAUAUCAAAAAAGGCCAGUGGAAAACCAAUAAAAAUCAUGAACAAACUCAAAACCUACAAAGCUGAGCUGUGAGACUAGCGCUAUCUUACACUGGAUUAAAUUUUAAUUACUUUUUAACAAUACUAUUUGGAGUGAAUUUCUAGAUGUAGUAGAAAUAUAGAAAUCUAGAAGUAUAUACUACACCAUUUUAGUGAUUUAAUGCCAGCAUGUAGAAGAAUGGGUAGUAUGAGGGGUGUCUUUUAUUACUUAAAGAAUCAGCUGCCAGCUAAAGUGUCAAAAAGCCCUCAGAACAGUGCCAUACACCAUAUACCGUAUAUGCACCUUAUGUGUCCAUCCAUUACACAGGAAAUAUCAAAAUCAUGCAAAAGUUAUAAAAUAAA